rnacentral:lncRNA from 1 species
UCCAUUGUUUAAGACUUAUUAUAAGAGCAUUGUACUUUUGGCAUGGUUCAAUAUAUUCGGUCAGCAUACUUGCAGCCCUAUUAUCAUUCCUUCUACUUUUUUUCCCGGGUGAUCAUUCCUUCUACUUGUCAUAGUUCGUCUGAAUAGUUGCAUCCAUGGACGAGUAUCUAGAUGAUGAGAGAAAUCAUGUUUUAUGAGAAGAUUGAUACGUGCAAUGCUACUUGGAAUGGGAGGCACCCAGAAACAAUCAGCUUCAACAUGUCGAAAUGUUUUAGGAUAAUAACGGAUUAGUCGGGCGUCUAGUUCUUGCUGGGCUGGCAAACCAUUUAGGUAUUCACACGUAUAGAAAAUUAGUGGUUUUAUUUUCAUUUCAAAAGGUGUGGUGUGCCGAUGAAUAACUCGUUUGCUCUUCCCGCCCGCUUCCCCACCCAACAAACGCCCAAUACACACAAAACCAAAUCCCUCUUACCGCUCUUCUCAUCCAUCAGUCACACACACAUCCAGCUAAGUCCAGCGAUUCCAUUAGAUAUAGGAAUGCACAUAGCUUCAUAAUGGGUAAUCGAAUAUUUUUCGGUAAAAGCUCCCUUAAUGCAAUCAAAAGCAACUGUGUCAUAAUCACGUGACAAUCAUGAGAUUUUAGGUUCUGAAAUUUUUUC